GAUGAACGCUGGCGGCGUGCUUAACACAUGCAAGUCGAACGAUGAAGCCAAGUUGGCUGGGGGGUUUAGUGGCAAACGGGUGAGUAACACGUGAGAAACAAGCCCCUGAUCCUGGGUUAAGCGCUGGAAACGGCGCCUAAUACUGAAAAGGUCCCGUCCCGGCAGGGGGUGCGGGUGGAAGGAUUUUCCGGUUGGGGAUGGGCUCGCGGCCUAUCAGCUUGUUGGUGAGGUAAUGGCUCACCAAGGCGUCGACGGGUAGCCGGCCUGAGAGGGUGACCGGCCACACUGGGACUGAGACACGGCCCAGACUCCUACGGGAGGCAGCAGUGGGGAAUAUUGCACAAUGGGCGGAAGCCUGAUGCAGCAACGCCGCGUGAGGGAUGACGGCCUUCGGGUUGUAAACCUCUUUUAGCAGGGAAGAAGCGAAAGUGACGGUACCUGCAGAAAAAGCACCGGCUAACUACGUG
rnacentral:rRNA from 1 species